UGGGGAAUUUUCCGCAAUGGGGGCAACCCUGACGGAGCAACGCCGCGUGCGGGAGGAAGGCCUUUGGGUUGUAAACCGCUUUUCUCAGGGAAGAAGCUCUGACGGUACCUGAGGAAUCAGCCUCGGCUAACUCCGUGCCAGCAGCCGCGGUAAUACGGAGGAGGCAAGCGUUAUCCGGAAUCAUUGGGCGUAAAGCGUUCGCAGGCGGCGAUUCAAGUCUGCUGUCAAAGCCCGCAGCUCAACUGCGGACAGGCAGUGGAAACUGAAUCGCUAGAGUGCGGCAGGGGUAGAGGGAAUUCCUAGUGUAGCGGUGAAAUGCGUAGAGAUUAGGAAGAACACCGGUGGCGAAAGCGCUCUGCUAGGCCGCAACUGACACUGAGGGACGAAAGCUAGGGGAGCGAAUGGGAUUAGAUACCCGUGUAGUCC
rnacentral:rRNA from 1 species